rnacentral:sRNA from 1 species
CAGACAUGGCCUGGCCCAGACCCCCACUGAUCCAGCCCUUCCCCGAACCCAGGCCCAGUCGGUGCGAGAAGUGUUUGCCCGGCAGCUGAUGCAGGUGCGCGGAGUGAGUGGGGAGAAGGCAGCAGCCCUGGUGGAUCAAUACAGCACCCCUGCCAGCCUCCUGGCCGCCUAUGAUGCCUGUGCCACCCCCAAGGAACAAGAGACACUGCUGAGCACCAUCAAGUGUGGGCGUCUACAGAGGAAUCUGGGGCCUGCUCUGAGCAGGACCUUAUCCCAGCUCUACUGCAGCUACAGCCCCUUGACCUGAGCUUAUGCCGUGAAACAGCCCCCAGCCCCCGUCUGUCCCCCAACCCAGGCUAGCCAGCCUUUUAACAACAUCUUUUGGGGUACAAUUAGAAUCUAAGUGUUUGCAGCCAUAUGUGUCAUGUAGAAGAUGCCUAGCCCUGGGGACCUUGUGAAAUACGCAGGAACCAGGGAUACCAUCUGGUCCAGUGGUUUUUAAACAAAGCUGCUUAGCACCUGGAAUUCCCUGGUCAGGGAGAUGGAGUCAGUGGGGCAUUGCAGCUUGGAAUCUAUUUUAUGUCACCAGUUGGUCCUCAUCAAAUAAAAUUUCCUUAGGAGUGCAGAGGGCUCAUUGGGAAAAUAAAAAUAAUAAAAAUAAAUAAAACUUCCUAAAAGAAAAGAUUGAAAACCA